rnacentral:rRNA from 1 species
ACUCCUACGGGAGGCAGCAGUAGGGAAUCUUGCGCAAUGGGCGAAAGCCUGACGCAGCGACGCCGCGUGCGGGACGAAGGCCUUCGGGUUGUAAACCGCUUUCAGCAGGGACGAAGCGAAAGUGACGGUACCUGCAGAAGAAGGUCCGGCCAACUACGUGCCAGCAGCCGCGGUAAUACGUAGGGACCGAGCGUUGUCCGGAUUCAUUGGGCGUAAAGAGCUCGUAGGCGGCUGCUCAAGUCGAAUGUGAAACCUCGAGGCUUAACCUCGAGCCUGCAUUCGAUACUGGGCGGCUAGAGUCUGGUAGGGGGAUCUGGAAUUCCUGGUGUAGCGGUGAAAUGCGUAGAGAUC